ensembl:lncRNA
GUUUAUAUCUGAUCAUCACUCUGGUUCUGGUUCUUCUGGUUCUGAUCAUCAUUGGUGUCUUGUUAGUGUUUCUCUAUAUGAAGCAUCAGUCUCGAGCAGGCGGUGAUUCAUCAUCUCAGACUGGAGCAGAAAAACAUGAAAUGGUUUUUCACACUGGUGGUGAUUAUGAGGAGAUUAAAGACACUCACAAACAAUUACCCACAAACCCCUCUGUUAUUCCUGACUGUGUUUACGCUACAGUUCAGAAAGCCACUGGUGACUCUCAGAUCUUGAUCACAUCUGCUGAGGAUCUGAAUUACGCCGUGGUGAAUUUCCAGAAGAAUCCAAACUGUCCUGACAGUGUUAAUUACUCUGUGGUGGAUUUCCAGAAGAAAGCAGACUGUCCUGACAGUGUUAGAUUGAGGUAUAAUCAGGAUUACAGUGAAUACGCUGAUGUCAAUCAUCUCACUGCCUGAUGAGCCUGAUGGCACCAUAUGAGCUUCAAUCUAGUAUUUCUGAACAUUUUUUGUAUAAAAUGUCUGGUUAUUAUCUGCAGUCAGAGCAAUGUAAAUAUAAAAGUAUGAACUCUUUGUGCAACAUGCAGGUGAAAUAUGAGAAGACCCAGCACUGGGUUAUAUUUAACCCAGCAUUUUUUAGAGUGUAUAGCGAGCUGUUUAAUCAUAAUGAAAGAGCAUUAGCUGUCAACUUUGUUUAAAAAAAAAAACUAUUAAUAUAUGAUAUUAAUACAUUCUAUAAUGUCACAUAUUAAAUAUAUGACAAUAAAAUAUUACAAAACAUAUUAUGGUGGUUCGUC